rnacentral:rRNA from 1 species
CCAAUAGCGUAUAUUAAAGUUGUUGCAGUUAAAAAGCUCGUAGUUGAAUUUCGGGACCAUCAUGUCGGUCGUGCCUCGGUACGUACUGGCAUUGUUGGUUUCUCCCUUCUGACGAACCAUGAUGUCAUUUAUUUGGUGUUGUGGGGAAUCAGGACUGUUACUUUGAACAAAUUAGAGUGUUUAAAGCAGGCUCACGCUUGAAUACAUUAGCAUGGAAUAAUGAAAUAGGACGUUUGAUUCUAUUUUGUUGGUUUCUAGGAUCGACGUAAUGAUUAAUAGGGAUAGUUGGGGGCAUUAGUAUUCAAUUGUCAGAGGUGAAAUUCUUGGAUUUAUUGAAGACUAACUACUGCGAAAGCAUUUGCCAAGGAUGUUUUCAUUAAUCAAGAACGAAAGUUAGGGGAUCGAAGACGAUCAGAUACCGUCGUAGUCUUAACCAUAAACUAUGCCGACUAGGGAUCGGAUGAUGUUAAUUUUUUAAUGACUCAUUCGGCGCCUUACG